AUUGAACGCUGGCGGCAGGCCUAACACAUGCAAGUCGAACGAGUGGCGGACGGGUGAGUAAUGUCUGGGAAACUGCCUGAUGGAGGGGGAUAACUACUGGAAACGGUAGCUAAUACCGCAUACCAUCAGAUGUGCCCAGAUGGGUUUAGCUAGUUGGUGGGGGACCGGCUCACCAAGGCGACGAUCCCUAGCUGGUCUGAGAGGAUGACAAGCCACACGGGAACGGAGACACGGUCCAUACUCCUACGGGAGGAAGCAGGGGGGAAUAUUGGACAAUGGGCGCAAGCCUGAUGCAGCCAUGCCGCGUGUAUGAAGAAGUCUUUCGGGUUGUAAAGUACUUUCAGCGGGGAGGCGUUACCCGAAGAAGAAGCACCGGCUAACUCCGUGCCAGCCGCCGCGGUAAUAC
rnacentral:rRNA from 1 species